rnacentral:rRNA from 1 species
AGGACGAACGCUGGCGGCGUGCCUAACACAUGCAAGUCGAACGGGACCAGGGGCAACUCUGGUUCAGUGGCGGACGGGUGCGUAACACGUGAGGAACAUGACCCUCGGCGGGGGAUAGCCGGCCCAACGGCCGGGUAAUACCGCGUACGACCACAUGGGGACAUCCCUGAGUGGUGAAAGCAGCAAUGCGCCGAUGGAGUGCCUCGCGGCCUAUCAGCUAGUUGGUGAGGUAACGGCUCACCAAGGCAACGACGGGUAGC